AUAAAAAACCAACGCGGUUCGCCGCUCCCUUGGUGAUUCAUAAUAACUUCUCGAAUCGCAUGACCUUGUGUCGGCGAUGCUCAUUCAAAUAUCUGCCCUAUCAACUUUCGAUGGAGGAUAGAGGCCUACCAUGGUUUCAACGGGUAACGGGGAAUAAGGGUUCGAUUCCGGAGAGGGAGCCUGAGAAACGGCUCCCACAUCCAAGGAAGGCAGCAGGCGCGCAGAAUUACCCAAUCCCGACACGGGGAGGUAGUGACAAUAAAUAACAAUAUAGGGCUCUUUUGGGUCUUAUUAAUUGGAAUGAGUACAAUUUAAAUCCCUUAACGAGGAACAAUUGGAGGGCAAGUCUGGUGCCAGCAGCCGCGGUAAUUCCAGCUCCAAUAGCGUAUAUUAAAGUUGUUGCAGUUAAAAAGCCCGAAGUUGAACUUCAGACUAGACUGGGCGGUCCGCCUCACGGAGUGUACUGUGUCGGUUGGUUCUUACCUCUUGGUGAGCCAGCAAGCCCUUUACUGGGUGUGUU
rnacentral:rRNA from 2 species